rnacentral:rRNA from 1 species
GCAACUGACGCUGAAGCUCGAAAGUGCGGGUAUCGAACAGGAUUAGAUACCCUGGUAGUCCGCACGGUAAACGAUGGAUGCCCGCUUUUCGGUCAUUAGACCGUGAGGCCAAGUGAAAACAUUAAGCAUCCCACCUGGGGAGUACGCCGGCAACGGUGAAACUCAAAGGAAUUGACGGGGGCCCGCACAAGCGGAGGAACAUGUGGUUUAAUUCGAUGAUACGCGAGGAACCUUACCCGGGCUUGAAUUGCAGAUGAAGGAUCCAGAGAUGGUGACGCCCUUCGGGGCAUCUGUGAAGGUGCUGCAUGGUUGUCGUCAGCUCGUGCCGUGAGGUGUCGGCUCAAGUGCCAUAACGAGCGCAACCCCUCUCUUCAGUUGCCAUCAGGCUAUGCUGGGCACUCUGGAGACACUGCCACCGCAAGGUGUGAGGAAGGUGGGGAUGACGUCAAAUCAGCACGGCCCUUACGUCCGGGGCUACACACGUGUUACAAUGGGGGGUACAGAAAGCCGGCUGCCCGCAAGGUCAGUCCAAUCAAGAAAGCCUCCCUCAGUUCGGACUGGGGUCUGCAACCCGACCCCACGAAGCUGGAUCGCUAGUAAU